rnacentral:rRNA from 1 species
CGGCGAAACAACGACCCUGCCGAACCAGGUAAUGCUAAGCACGCAAGGUGUUGUGACGUCUUCGGACUGAUCUUCACUGAGUCUGUAACCCAAACCUUUAGUAGGCAAGCUGCGGAGGGACGCAGGAAGGUAGCCGUACCGGGAGAUGGUUUUCCCGGGGUAAGUGCGUAGGGUGGAGUGUAGGCAAAUCCGCACUCCGUGUGCCUGAAACAUGACGCAUAGGCCGUAUGGCCGAAUUCGGUAAUCCUAUGCUGCCUAGAAAAGCUUCGUGAGCGAGUUGUUAGCCGCCCGUACCCCAAACCGACACAGGUGGAUAGGUAGAGAAUACCAAGGCGAUCGAGAGAAUCGUGGUGAAGGAACUCGGCAAAAUACCCCCGUAACUUCGGAAUAAGGGGGACUGGAGGGGUGCAUAGCCCCGAAGAUCGCAGAGACCACGCCCAAGCGACUGUUUACCAAAAACAUAGGUCCGUGCCAAGUCGCAAGACGAUGUAUACGGACUGACUCCUGCCCGGUGCUGGAAGGUUAAGGGGAAGUGUUAGCGCAAGCGAAGCACUGAACUUAAGCCCCAGUAAACGGCGGUGGUAACUAUAGCCAUCCUAAGGUAGCGAAAUUCCUUGUCGGGUAAGUUCCGACCUGCACGAAUGGAGUAACGAUUUGGGCACUGUCUCCACCACGAACUCGGCGAAAUUGCAUUACGAGUAAAGAUGCUCGUUACGCGCAGCAGGACGGAGAGACCCCGGGACCUUUACUAUAGUUUGGUAUUGGUGAUUGGGACGACUUGUGUAGGAUAGGUGGGAGACUUUGAAGCAUUCACGCCAGUGAGUGUGGAGUCAACGUUGAAAUACCACUCUGGUCGUUCUAGUUAUCUAACCUAGGUCCAUUAUCUGGAUCAGGGACAGUGCCUGAUGGGUAGUUUGACUGGGGCGGUCGCCUCCCAAAAGGUAACGGAGGCGCCCAAAGGUUCCCUCAGCCUGGUUGGCAAUCAGGUGUCGAGUGUAAAUGCACAAGGGAGCUUGACUGUGAGACUGACAGGUCGAGCAGGGACGAAAGUCGGGAUUAGUGAUCUUAUGGUGGCACGUGGAAGCGCCAUAACUCAACGGAUAAAAGGUACCCCGGGGAUAACAGGCUGAUCUUGCCCGAGCGCUCACAGCGACGGCAUGGUUUGGCACCUCGAUGUCGGCUCGUCGCAUCCUGGGGCUGGAGUCGGUCCCAAGGGUUGGGCUGUUCGCCCAUUAAAGCGGCACGCGAGCUGGGUUCAGAACGUCGUGAGACAGUUCGGUCCCUAUCCGCUGCGCGCGUAGGAAUCUUGAGAAGGGCUGUCCUUAGUACGAGAGGACCGGGACGGACUAACCUCUGGUGUGCCAGUUGUUCUGCCAAGAGCACGGCUGGUUGGCUACGUUGGGAAGUGAUAACCGCUGAAAGCAUCUAAGUGGGAAGCACGCUUCAAGAUGAGGGUUCCCUCAGAGUUAAUCUGGUAAGGCCCCCGGUAGACCACCGGGUUGAUAGGUCGGACGUGGAAGUGCGGCAACGCAUGGAGCUGACCGAUACUAAUAGGCCGAGGGCUUGUC